UCUUCUUCUUCUUCUUCUUCUUCGAUUUUUCUCCAAGCCACAGACAAACAACAUCAGAUAGAGACAAUAUCGGACCCCUCCCUAAUCUGCGCCAUUCCAUCCCCUUCUUCCUCCUCUCAUCUCAUCUCACUCAACAACCGGAGAUUUCCCUCCCCUGAACGAAAGAAAACCAAGCAGCUUUAUCGACCAUCUCUCCAAACCUUAACAACCAGCAGCCUCAACGAUUCCCUCUUUCUACUUCCACACUUCACGCCUACUAGCCAAACAGCUACCAUCUCCUCUACUCUAGAAAUACACCCACACACGAGACAGCGAAGGAGGGAUUCUGCAAUUGGAAAGUUCCAAAAGCAGAUUCGGAAAUAAAUAAUAAAAAUCCCUGAUAAGCCAAAACAGAUAGGGAUUUCGGAAUGGAUUUUGAGAAGAAUUAAUUACUGGAAAUUUAAGGUUCAAAUCUUGGUUUUCUUCUAGAUUGUGAAGCGUUGAAAGCUGGGAUUGGGAACUGGCCGAUUACGCUGCGUCCAGUAGCUGAGUUCCGGCAUUACAUUCGUUUCUUCAGCCUCUACUUUGGCUUUCAAUUUUUAUUUGUUUCAGGUAUGAACCUCGAUUCAAAGUGCUGUAAUUGUUGUUAGAUUCUCCAUACGCUGAAAUUUGCAAUGACAAUUCUCUUGUUUUCUCUUAAAUUCAUCAUUGUUAAGUUUAAGUUUGAAUUAUUGUUUGCUGAAAUUUGCAAUAAACUUUCCCUUAUUUCUCUGAAAAGUUCAUCACUGUUAAGUGCAAGUUUGAAUUAGUGUUGAACUAUUUUGACGCAAAGAGUUAGAAUUAUUGGUUCAUCACUGUUAAGUGCAAGUGAAUGUAUCUUUUCGUAUGAUUAUUGGUUUCAAUUAGCCUAUAAUAGUGUUACCCAUGCUAGUGGUAGAGGUACCAAGUCUGUUGGGUAAUUUUUAUGUUCUCAAAUUUUUAUGUUCGACUUCUGCUCUCAGUAAUGUGCUUUCCUGAUAAUAAUCCUUUUGUUACUGUUAUUAGUUUUUUUCCCCAAUAUUUGUUACUGUUAUUGACCUUUCUCUAUAGGAUAGGUUUUGUUAUCAAUCAUGUGUGGAAACACAAAAUUAGGAGGAAACUAAAGAAAAACUGUUAAAAGGAAAAACUGGAACAAAAAACAAUAAACAAUAAGAAAUAUUCCGAGUCCACAAUUUUCUUGUGCGUCCUUAAGGAAUUUUAACCCCCUCACACGUUCCCAAGGUAAUGGAUUAAAUCCUCCCAGGAUAAAACGGAAUAAACAUUCCUGCAACAAUGGCAAUACAACCUGCAAGAUAUCAACGAACUCAAAGAACGGAGCAAAAUCAUACUUACGAAUUUGAGAGAGAGAG
rnacentral:lncRNA from 1 species